rnacentral:rRNA from 1 species
GAUGAACGCUGGCGGCGUGCCUAAUACAUGCAAGUCGAGCGAACGGACGAGAAGCUUGCUUCUCUGAUGUUAGCGGCGGACGGGUGAGUAACACGUGGAUAACCUACCUAUAAGACUGGGAUAACUUCGGGAAACCGGAGCUAAUACCGGAUAAUAUUUUGAACCGCAUGGUUCAAAAGUGAAAGACGGUCUUGCUGUCACUUAUAGAUGGAUCCGCGCUGCAUUAGCUAGUUGGUAAGGUAACGGCUUACCAAGGCAACGAUGCAUAGCCGACCUGAGAGGGUGAUCGGCCACACUGGAACUGAGACACGGUCCAGACUCCUACGGGAGGCAGCAGUAGGGAAUCUUCCGCAAUGGGCUAAAUCCUGACGGAGCAACGCCGCGUGAGUGAUGAAGGUCUUCGGAUCGUAAAACUCUGUUAUUAGGGAAGAACAUAUGUGUAAGUAACUGUGCACAUCUUGACGGUACCUAAUCAGAAAGCCACGGCUAACUACGUG